rnacentral:rRNA from 2 species
GGGAAUGGGGAAGCUAUAAUGCAAGUCGACGAACUCUGGUAUUGAUUGGUGCUUGCAUCAUGAUUUACAUUUGAGUGAGUGGCGAACUGGUGAGUAACACGUGGGAAACCUGCCCAGAAGCGGGGGAUAACACCUGGAAACAGAUGCUAAUACCGCAUAACAACUUGGACCGCAUGGUCCGAGUUUGAAAGAUGGCUUCGGCUAUCACUUUUGGAUGGUCCCGCGGCGUAUUAGCUAGAUGGUGGGGUAACGGCUCACCAUGGCAAUGAUACGUAGCCGACCUGAGAGGGUAAUCGGCCACAUUGGGACUGAGACACGGCCCAAACUCCUACGGGAGGCAGCAGUAGGGAAUCUUCCACAAUGGACGAAAGUCUGAUGGAGCAACGCCGCGUGAGUGAAGAAGGGUUUCGGCUCGUAAAACUCUGUUGUUAAAGAAGAACAUAUCUGAGAGUAACUGUUCAGGUAUUGACGGUAUUUAACCAGAAAGCCACGGCUAACUACGUGCCAGCAGCCGCGGUAAUACGUAGGUGGCAAGCGUUGUCCGGAUUUAUUGGGCGUAAAGCGAGCGCAGGCGGUUUUUUAAGUCUGAUGUGAAAGCCUUCGGCUCAACCGAAGAAGUGCAUCGGAAACUGGGAAACUUGAGUGCAGAAGAGGACAGUGGAACUCCAUGUGUAGCGGUGAAAUGCGUAGAUAUAUGGAAGAACACCAGUGGCGAAGGCGGCUGUCUGGUCUGUAACUGACGCUGAGGCUCGAAAGUAUGGGUAGCAAACAGGAUUAGAUACCCUGGUAGUCCAUACCGUAAACGAUGAAUGCUAAGUGUUGGAGGGUUUCCGCCCUUCAGUGCUGCAGCUAACGCAUUAAGCAUUCCGCCUGGGGAGUACGGCCGCAAGGCUGAAACUCAAGGGAAUUGACGGGGCCCGCAACAAGCGGUGGAGCAUGUGGUUUAUUUCGAAGCUACGCGAAGAAUCCUUACCAGUCUUUGACAUACUAUGCAAAUCCUAAAAGAUUUAGACGUUCCUUCCGGGGACAUGCAUACAGUGUUGCAUGAUGGUCGUCAGCUCGGUCCGUGAGAUGUUUGGGUUAGUUCCGCACGGAGGCGCAUCCUAUUAUCAGUUGCCAGCUUACUGUGGACCUGGGGAACUGCCGUGAACAUCCGGU